AGCAGCCGCGGUAAUUCCAGCUCCAAUAGCGUAUAUUAAAGUUGUUGCAGUUAAAAAGCUCGUAGUUGAAUUUCGGGAUCAAAGGAUCGGUCAUGCCUUGGUAUGUACUGGUUUUAUUGGUUCUCACCUUCUAAAGAACCAUAAUGUCAUUCAUUUGAUGUUAUGGGGAAUUAGGACUGUUACCUUGAAAAAUUAGAGUGUUUAAAGCAGGCUUACGCUUGAAUACAUUAGCAUGGAAUAAUGAAAUAGGACAUCAGAUUCUAUUUUGUUGGUUUCUAGGAUCGAUGUAAUGAUUAAUAGGGAUAGUUGGGGGCAUUAGUAUUCAAUUGUCAGAGGUGAAAUUCUUGGAUUUAUUGAAGACUAACUACUGCGAAAGCAUUUGCCAAGGAUGUUUUCAUUAAUCAAGAACGAAAGUUAGGGGAUCGAAGACGAUCAGAUACCGUCGUAGUCUUAACCAUAAACUAUGCCGACUAGGG
rnacentral:rRNA from 1 species